GCGGCUACUUCCUCGGACCCCGGAACUAGGACUUGGCCACGCAGCAGCUCCAGUUCGGGCGGAUCCUGGUAUACCAGAGCAGAACCUCUUUCAGUGUUGGUUGUGUCUUACACUGGAGGAGCCCAGGAAUGAGAUAUUCUUGGGCUCUCUUUCUUCGCCCCAGCAUUCAACCGCUUCAGUGCAAAAACGCUUGACUCUUUGUUUCCUGGGACACACUUAACCUCAAUGAAGAUUUGAUGGACAGAUCCUUUCUGGUGACUUUUGGGAUUUUUUCUUUCUUUCUCAAUGUGCAAGUUAGACAAGUGAAAGGAGCAGAAAGUUGCCUGCUUUGGUGAAUAACUUGAUUCUUAGAACAUGGGCCCUCGCUUAAAG
rnacentral:lncRNA from 1 species